rnacentral:lncRNA from 1 species
UUUUAAUAUUUUUCUUAUAUCUCUGCUUAUUUUCAGUGCCAAACAUUGUUUUCAAAUACAGUUGGCUUGGAAAUGAGUACUUGAAGCUGCAAGCUUGUCAGCAAACUACCAUGUUUCCAGAGUUGACUUUUGACGUACAAGCUGUUCUCACAGAGAGAUGGCUGAUGUAUUGAGCUCAACACAGAGAGUGAGUGCAUACCCUAUUCUGAAAACUCACCAUUAGGGAGAAAAAUCAUCUUGGGAUGUACAAUUUAUGGAUGCAUCUGAGAAGAAAAGAAUGCCAGUGCAGCAUGAACGUCCUGUUCUCUCAUGAUGUAAGAAACUGGGUCCUUGUGAGGUUAAACCACCCUUUCCCCUUGAAACAGCACAUAUUAAGAAUGCAAAGGAGCACAGAUAUGAAAGCAAAACAUCAUCAAGGAGAACAGAAUAUCAGAUGCUCUCAUCUUACUCCUUUUCACUGAGAAGCAUUUCUUCUUCCUCAAUAAAUCUCCAUCAUUACUUUUUUUAAAGCUUCA